GACGAACGCUGACGGCGUGCUUAACACAUGCAAGUCGAACGAUGAACCCGGAGCUUGCUCUGGGGGAUUAGUGGCGAACGGGUGAGUAACACGUGAGUAACCUGCCCUGGACUCUGGGAUAAGCGUUGGAAACGACGUCUAAUACCGGAUAGGACCUUGGAUCGCAUGAUCUGGGGUGGAAAGUUUUUUCGGUCUGGGAUGGACUCGCGGCCUAUCAGCUUGUUGGUGAGGUAAUGGCUCACCAAGGCGUCGACGGGUAGCCGGCCUGAGAGGGUGACCGGCCACACUGGGACUGAGACACGGCCCAGACUCCUACGGGAGGCAGCAGUGGGGAAUAUUGCACAAUGGGCGAAAGCCUGAUGCAGCAACGCCGCGUGCGGGAUGACGGCCUUCGGGUUGUAAACCGCUUUUAGUAGGGAAGAAGGGCUUCGGCUUGACGGUACCUGCAGAAAAAGGACCGGCUAACUACGUG
rnacentral:rRNA from 1 species